CAAGAAUUUUGUAGCUUUUUAUAAAUAAUCUCUAACUUACUAAUAUAUAAUUAUUUUCUGCUUUCAGGAUAAGCAUUGUUUAUGCAACUUGUCCUACAUACCUGUCAUGAGUGCUGUAUACUUCGAAUGGCUUCUACACAUUAUUGCAAGUUCACCUGCCACAGCUGUUAUUCCAGUCAGAAAGUGAAUUUGUGGAUGGAUGUGGCUGUUAUUUGGCAUCACUCUUGUCAGUUGCUUAUGGAUCCUGUGAGAGAGAACAUCUCAUCUGCAGUGUGUAAUUUGGAUGUUUUGAAGUGGUACAAGUGAUUCACACCUAUACUGUUUCUGCUGAUUUUCAAUUCAGCUUGAAGUGUGUGGACAUCUUUUUUACUAAUUUAUAAUAUCACAUUGCCGUUUGAAAGGUAACAAAGGAGAGAAAUUAUGUAUAGCUGAGGUAAGUGAAUUAAUCUGCAGUAUUUAUUUUCCUUUUCAAAUUGAAGUUGAAUUUUUUUUCAAUUUAUU